CCGGAGCUUGCUCCACCGGAAAAAGAMSAGUGGCGAACGGGUGAGUAACACGUGGGUAACCUGCCCAUCRGAAGGGGAUAACACUUGGAAACAGGUGCUAAUACCGUAUAACAAUCAAAACCGCAUGGUUUUGAUUUGAAAGGCGCUUUCGGGUGUCGCUGAUGGAUGGACCCGCGGUGCAUUAGCUAGUUGGUGAGGUAACGGCUCACCAAGGCCACGAUGCAUAGCCGACCUGAGAGGGUGAUCGGCCACAUUGGGACUGAGACACGGCCCAAACUCCUACGGGAGGCAGCAGUAGGGAAUCUUCGGCAAUGGACGAAAGUCUGACCGAGCAACGCCGCGUGAGUGAAGAAGGUUUUCGGAUCGUAAAACUCUGUUGUUAGAGAAGAACAAGGAUGAGAGUAACUGUUCAUCCCUUGACGGUAUCUAACCAGAAAGCCACGGCUAACUACGUGCCAGCA
rnacentral:rRNA from 1 species